rnacentral:tRNA from 1 species
GAAUCGGUACAGUUUUACAGGAAAACUUCUAAGCAGCAGGUCAUUGGUUCGAAUCCAAUCCGGUUCA